UCUGCUGUUAAUAUCUGAAGUUGUAAGCAGUGCAUACCUUCCGCUGAAUCCAUGCUUUCUUUUGUGUUUUUUCACCUGUUAAGAGCACAAUAAAUAUAUCCUUUAAAUGCUUUCAAAUACGUAAAAAUGUUUUAUUUUCCAUUAAUAACUAACCAUUUUGUUCCCUUUAGUACUACUUAUACAUCAGGCUCAAAGGAUAGAAAACCCUUCUUUUAUUUCAUAUAUCCGUCUUCAGUCUUAACUAACAUGAUAAUGUUUUUAGAUUGAAAUGCAUGAUGAUCAUUCCUUUUUCAGGCAUGGGUUGAUAUGUAUUCAACUAGACGAUAUGGACAGACACUUCCUUUAAUACAAGAGGGAUGGAACGUCUUAUAUCACACCAUUUACAAUUGCACUGAUGGAGCAUAUGUAAGUACUUGGUUGAUACUUAUAACCUGCUUCAGAUUAGUAAUUUCUUUCAGUUAUUCCUGCAAUAGAAGACCUAUGUAAUUACGUGUUCAAUGCUUCUCAUUUACUGUCUUCCCUUUAUUACUGUAUCUUUCCCUUUAUGAUGCAUUUAUACAACAACAAAGCCUUAUCUCACAAAGUUGUGAUGCAUUUAUGUUAACAAAACAAAAAUGGUGUUGUAUUUCAUUAUGCCCUUGAUACAUAUAAAGCAAGAAACAGAAAGGAUACAUCACAUUGCUUUGACUACUUAUUUUCUCUCCUUUAAUCGGACCAACCAACCGACAACUUGUUCACAAAUGACAAUCUGAACUGCACAUUUUAUGCUCAGUUCUAGUCCUAACUAAUCAUGAAUAGAUUAGUAUAUCAUAUUUUAGUUUUAACCAGAUAUUCUUGGUGUAUGGGAACAGGACAAAAACAGAGAUGUCAUCGUAGCAUUCCCAGAUGUUGACCCUUCCUUAAUUUCAGUACAGCAUGAGCAGUCUCACCACAAUGACAAGCCCUACUCAGGAACAAUUAUCAAGGAAAUAACUGAUUCAUUUGAUCGACCGCAUUUAUGGUAUCCAACUUCUGAAGUAAUUUAUGCAUUGGAACUAUUUAUAACUAGUGGAGAUGAACUUUCUAGAUGCAAUACUUAUAGGUAAGACUGAAAAGUUGGCUAUACAAGAAUUCUUGCUCUUGUUUCAGAACUCAGCUGAAUGUAACUCAAUAGUCUUACCAUAUGUUGAGAUUUAAUAUCCAGAUCCAUGAUAUUUAUUCUUUACUCAGGUAUGACCUAGUUGAUCUGACUAGACAAGUCUUGGCAAAAUAUGCUAAUGAAUUGUUCUUUAAGGUCAUAGAGGCAUAUCAAUCACAUGAUAUCCAUGGAAUGACCCUCCUCAGCCAGAGAUUUCUGGACCUAGUGGAAGAUUUGGACACACUAUUGGCUUGCCAUGAUGGUUUUCUUCUGGGACCUUGGUUAGAAAGCGCAAAGCAACUAGCUCUAAAUGAAGAACAGGAGAGACAGGUUUGAUAUACUUUAAUAUCAUUGGUGCAUAUUUUUCAAUCCAUCUGUCUUAUACUUCUAUUGAUGUAACAUUUACAGUUUGAGUGGAAUGCUAGAACACAAAUCACCAUGUGGUUUGACAACUCAGAUGAGGAAGCCAGUCUGCUUCGUGACUAUGGUAUGAAAAACAGUUGAUACCGUGCUACUCGGCUACUCCCUCCAAUCUUGAUUAUGAGCAAAAAAAGACACAUGUCACAUUUAUUAAAAAAAUUAGUGAACUUUAUUAAAUUGUGUCAUUUCUAAUUAAAAAAUAAACAUUUUCCCUUAACUAUCAUUCAUUGGAACUUUGAUAUCAAGCAUAAAAAAUGUUUUUGACCUUAUUAAAUGAAGGAUAAUUUAGAGACAAUCUCAUUAAAUAAGACAGAUAAUUGAGAUUUGCUUAUAUUUGAGACAAAAAAAAAAAAGAAACUUUUGUACUUGUAUUCAAGACCGGUGGGAGUAUAUUAUUUAACUUGUUAUUCACUAUAGGGGAUGUGCUGGCCUUUGCUGCAACAAUACUAAAGUAAAGGCUAAAGUAAAGGCUUUUUGGUCUUUUGUUUUUGUAAAUAGUAAUCACUCCCCUCUUUAUGAAUAGCUUUUCUGGAAGGAAAGGAAAAUAAAAGCUCUGCGAUGUUUAGUUAUGUUGUUUAACUUCUUUCCACAGGAAACAAGUACUGGAACGGGCUUCUACAUGAUUACUAUGGUCCCAGAGCUGCUAUUUAUUUCAAAUAUUUAAGAGAAAGCUUAGAGAGUGGUGAAGAUUUCAAGCUAAGGGGAUGGAGGAGGGAGUGGAUUAAGCUUACUAAUGAAUGGCAAAAGCGUAGGAAUAUUUUCCCAGUGGAAAGUAGUGGAGAUGCACUAAACACUUCAAGGUGGCUCUUUAACAAAUACCUGAACCUGAGCAAUCCUGAAACAAAGCUUGUACUGGAGUUGAACUGAACGCAAAUCAACGAAAUUUCUAUAAACUAUGCUUACAUGUUUAUAUGAAGCCAAGACCAUCUCGUUAAUCCAGUUCACUUAUCUCUAGAUUUUCAUUUUCCAUACACUGAUACACCGAUGCCAAUUUUCUUUUUGAAAAUAUUUGCCAAUGUGGAAAGGAAACUAUAGCUUUCCAG
rnacentral:lncRNA from 1 species